UAUUAUUUGUAACCUAAAUUAUAAUUCUCCAUAUUAAUAUUGUUUGGGGAGGUAAAGGAGAUGGCAGUGGGCAGUGGGCAGUGGGCAGUGUUCAGUGUUUUUCCAUCAAACUGCAACUAUGGAGGAUACUCAGCUGAAGCUGUAUUCAUAUUGGCGGAGUUCCUGCUCCUGUCGUGUUCGAAUAGCCCUCAACUUGAAACGUUCCAUUCUUUUUCCUUCUUUCCUUCUUUACUCCAAACCCUAAUUUUCUUUUUCUUUUCAUUAAAUCAAUUUUUGGUUAUUCUAUCUGGGUCUUUUGUGCUUCAACUUUGAACAGGGCUGAAAAACGAGUACAAGGCAGUGAACUUGGUACAAGGCAGUUAGACUCUUCUUGAUACGCAUCAUCAGAACUUCUGAUUUCUUUUUAUUGUUUUUUUUCCCUGUAUUUCUAGGAGAUAAACAUGGAUUUAAUAUAAUUCUUAGUUUUGUUGGGAUCAUCCCGUUCCACUGAUUUUUUCUGUGAAAGGAAUAUAUUUGGGGGUUCUUAUUCAUUGCUUAAUUCCGUUAUAUUCUCAGCUUUCCAA